UUGUGGUUAAAAAGCUCGUAGUUGGAUCUCAACAGCCUUGAAGCGGUUAACUUUGUAGUUUUACUGCUUUAUAGGCUGUGCUUUUGCUGGAGGUUUAGGGGUGCUCUUGAUCGAGUGUCUCUGGAUGCCAGCAGGUUUACUUUGAAAAAAUUAGAGUGCUCAAAGCAGGCUAAAAUGCCUGAAUAUUCGUGCAUGGAAUAAUAGAAUAGGAUGUCGAUCCUAUUUUGUUGGUUUUCGGGACUCGACAUAAUGAUAAAUAGGGACAGUCGGGGGCAUUUGUAUUCAAACGACAGAGGUGAAAUCCUUGGACCGUUUGAAGACAAACUACUGCGAAAGCAUUUGCCAAGAAUGUUUUCAUUAAUCAAGAACGAAAGUUAGAGGUUCGAAGGCGAUUAGAUACCGCCCUAGUUCUAACCAUAAACGAUGCCAGCUAGCGAUCUGCCUGCGUUUUUACUGUAGACUGGGCAGGAAGCUUCCGGGAAACCAAAGCAUUUGGGUUCCAGGGGAAGUAUGGUUGCAAAGCUGAAACUUAAAGGAAUUGACGGAAGGGCACCACCAGGAGUGGAGCCUGUGGCUUAAUUUGACU
rnacentral:rRNA from 1 species